rnacentral:tmRNA from 1 species
GGGGAUGCGUGGCUUCGACAGGGCAGGCGGACGGACCGCUGCGAGCCGAGGAACGCCGUUCCCCCUCGUUAAUCCGAACGGCUGCCAGAUAACUGGCAACACUUCUUACGCUCUCGCUGCCUAGUCAGUGAGCGUCCUCGAGGUCUCCCCUCCGCGGGCCUCGAGGACGAAUAAAGCGGAGGUGCGGCCCGCCGAUCGGCCGGUAGGCGGGCUCAAGUUCACGGCCUGUGCGCGAUCCGGUAGCGCGUCGGUGCGCGACCGGGUCCGCGAGAAAAAAAUCGCCGAACACGCUCGUAGACGCGAUCCGCGAGCAGGCCUUGGACGGGGAGUUCGACCCUCCCCCAUCUCCACAG